rnacentral:sRNA from 1 species
UUUAGAUAUGGAAGCUGAGGGGAUGCACGGAGGCAGCCAGAACCUAGGUCAGGGUCUCGCUCGGUGCUGACCGCCCCCGGGGUCGAGUAGGCGAUGGGGGAGCCCGGCUUCUUCGUCACAGGAGACCGCGCCGGUGGCCGGAGCUGGUGCCUGCGGCGGGUGGGGAUGAGCGCCGGGUGGCUGCUGCUGGAAGAUGGGUGCGAGGUGACUGUAGGACGAGGAUUUGGUGUCACAUACCAACUGGUAUCAAAAAUCUGCCCCCUGAUGAUUUCUCGAAACCACUGUGUUUUGAAGCAGAAUCCUGAGGGCCAAUGGACAAUUAUGGACAACAAGAGUCUAAAUGGUGUUUGGCUGAACAGAGCACGUCUGGAACCUUUAAGGGUCUAUUCCAUUCAGCAGGGAGACUACAUCCAACUUGGAGUGCCUCUGGAAAAUAAGGAGAAUGCGGAGUAUGAAUAUGAAGUUACUGAAGAAGACUGGGAGACAAUAUAUCCUUGUCUUUCCCCAAAGAAUGACCAAAUGAUAGAAAAAAAUAAGGAAUUGAGAACUAAAAGGAAAUUCAGUUUGGAUGAAUUAGCAGGUCCUGGAGCUGAAGGCCCCUCAAAUUUGAAAUCCAAAAUAAAUAAAGUGUCUUGUGAAUCUGGUCAGUCAGUGAAAUCACAGGGGAAAGGUGAAGUGGCCAGUACACCCUCUGACAAUUUGGAUCCUAAGUUGACUGCCCUUGAGCCAAGUAAGACCACAGGGGCUCCCAUUUACCCUGGCUUCCCCAAAGUCACAGAGGUUCAUCAUGAGCAGAAAGCCUCAAACUCUUCAGCAUCUCAGAGAAGCUUACAGAUGUUUAAGGUGACCAUGUCCAGGAUUCUGAGGCUGAAAAUACAGAUGCAGGAAAAACAUGAAGCCGUUAUGAAUGUGAAAAAGCAGACCCAAAAGGGGAACUCAAAGAAAGUUGUGCAAAUGGAGCAGGAACUGCAGGACUUACAGUCCCAGCUGUGUGCAGAGCAGGCUCAGCAGCAGGCAAGAGUGGAGCAACUAGAGAAGACUUUCCAGGAAGAGGAACAGCAUCUUCAGCCAGCAUGUGAUGGGACAGAUGCACCAUGACUGCAUUGUUGGGUUGAAUGAUAAACCACCUUCCACAGUGCCUAUAGUAGGAAGGUAAAAUAGUGACUGUCUUAGCUGUAUAAAGGUAAGACCAAAUGUGUUUCCAUCCCUCAGUCAUUUGCUUAGAUGACAAGCUCUUGCACAAAGCUUUAGGCUAGAGCAGAUCCCGUCCCUGCUCAAAAUGUCAUUUCCUAUCUGGCAGGAACCACACAUUUUGCUCCCACCCAGUUGCUCAGAUAAUAUUGAAUGUCAAGAAUUCCCCAUUGUUGACUUAGAACUCAGACGGACCAGUCACAACUAAAGUGAAUAAGCUUUUUGUUUGGGUUGCUCAGGGUAAGGAACAGCCAGGGGUAGUGUUGGCUUAUUUCUGAGCAAUUUAUAAAUUUCAUUCUGAUCUCUGCCAUCCCCUUGAACUGACAGUAUUAGC